ensembl:lncRNA
GUUCUACAUUGCUGUGCAGAAGCAGAUCAGUGACAACAAAGGUCUGACACUCUGAACUCUCCAUGCAAAUUGCAUUAAAAUAAUGAAUGUUGUGCCAAUGAAUGUUCCUCUCUUCUCCAGCAUCUUCGGGACUUACACGCAGAUACAGUGUGGGCGGUGUUUCUGACUGGAAAGAAAAACUUGACAGUUGUCUCAGAGGAAAUGAAUUGCACAAGAGGCUUUCACUCAGAAGUUCACCCAGAGUUCCACAACGUCUUGAUUCAGACGCAGCACUUCCAGAGAGCAAACCCAGCCAAUUACAUGACUCACCACAGACUCUCUCUGGUGUUAAUGAAGAGUCUAUGUCGCUCAUCCAGAGGAAAGGGCCCCUCCCACCUAUUCCCAUUCAUGCCAGGAUAGCCACGUUGAAGUUGAAUGGCAAUGCUAGCGUGCAAAACACUGACUCCACUAUUCCCAUUCCAUCAUGGGUGCCACCCCCUCCAUCUUACCAGGCCCCCACAGUCCCUCCAAGUUCAGUUGUAAGUAUGUGCUCUUAUAUUUACAGAAAUGUGUGUAAAUACCUGUUUAAUGUAAUUAUAUCUCAAUGUGUUUGUUAAAAGAUCCCAUCUCUGCUGGAAUGAAGCACAAUGUUCAUUAUAAUGGUAACUCCUUUGUCUAAAUGUAAUUCAACUCAGUUUUCUCUUUAAGGAAUAUGUCAGACAUGUUUCUAUAUUUGCAGCUGGCAUCGAGAACGAAUCUGGCUAUGAUGACUACCUUUAAAGCCUCCAUCCUCUCCAUCAUUUAGGACUUUUUGACUUAGCAACAGUGGGAUGUGGUCCACACAAGCACUUACACAUGGAAUAUAUCUUUAUUAAUUAUAUCAUAUACAUUUCUGCAGAACAACUAUAGAGUUUUUAAAGAAUGAUUAAUGAUGUAAUCAAAACUAAUAAAAGCAUAACAGUGGCUCACAACAGUUUCUGAAACAAGAUAUCAAACCAUAUAAAUGCUAAACCUCUUCUUCUUAGUUCUUACAAACGAGUGUCCAAAUACAUUGUCUUAAUUUUGAACAGUGUAUCUAUUGUUUUAGAAUUUAAAACAUGAAUAAAUUAACUUUUGUGAAACUUUUUGCUUGAAAGUGUACUUGUGUGUUAUGUUGUAAAUGGAUAUUCC